AACGUAGGAGGCGAGCGUUAUCCGGAGUUACUGGGCGUAAAGCGCAUGUAGGCGGUUGGGAUAAGUUGCGUGUGAAAGCUCCUGGCUAAACUAGGAGAGGACAGGCAAGACUGUUCGGCUAGAGGGUGGUAGAGGGGCACAGAAUUCGGGGUGUAGCGGUGAAAUGUGUAGAGAUCCCGAGGAAUACCAGUGGUGAAGACGGUGCCCUGGGCCAUACCUGACGCUGAGAUGCGAAAGCGUGGGGAGCGAACGGGG
rnacentral:rRNA from 1 species